rnacentral:rRNA from 1 species
GACGAACGCUGGCGGCGUGCUUAACACAUGCAAGUCGAACGGAAAGGCCCUGCUUUUGUGGGGUGCUCGAGUGGCGAACGGGUGAGUAACACGUGAGUAACCUGCCCUUGACUUUGGGAUAACUUCAGGAAACUGGGGCUAAUACCGGAUAGGAGCUCCUGCUGCAUGGUGGGGGUUGGAAAGUAGCGGCGGGGGGGGAUGGACUCGCGGCUUAUCAGCUUGGUGGGGGGGUGGUGGCUCACCAAGGCUUUGACGGGUAGCCGGCCUGAGAGGGGGAACGGACACAGGGGGAGAGAGAUACGGCACACACUCCUACGGGAGGGCGGAGUGGGGAAUAGUGGACAGGGGGGGCGACUCUGAUCCAGCCAUUCUGUGUGCAAGAAGGAGGUUUUCGGAUUGUAAAGUGCUUUCAGCAGAGAAGGAGAAAGUGACGGUACCGGCAGAAGAAGCGACGGCUAAAUACGUG